AGUGAACGCUGGCGGUAGGCCUAACACAUGCAAGUCGAACGGCAGCACAGUAAGAGCUUGCUCUUACGGGUGGCGAGUGGCGGACGGGUGAGGAAUACAUCGGAAUCUACUUUUUCGUGGGGGAUAACGUGGGGAAACUUACGCUAAUACCGCAUACGACCUACGGGUGAAAGCAGGGGAUCUUCGGACCUUGCGCGAUUGAAUGAGCCGAUGUCGGAUUAGCUAGUUGGCGGGGUAAAGGCCCACCAAGGCGACGAUCCGUAGCUGGUCUGAGAGGAUGAUCAGCCACACUGGAACUGAGACACGGUCCAGACUCCUACGGGAGGCAGCAGUGGGUAAUAUUGGACAAUGGGCGCAAGCCUGAUCCAGCCAUACCGCGUGGGUGAAGAAGGCCUUCGGGUUGUAAAGCCCUUUUGUUGGGAAAGAAAAGCAGCAGGUUAAUACCCCGCUGUUCUGACGGUACCCAAAGAAUAAGCACCGGCUAACUUCGUG
rnacentral:rRNA from 1 species